rnacentral:tRNA from 1 species
AAAAAUAAGCUAAAUUAAGCUUUUGGGUUCAUACCCCAAAUAUAAA